UGGGGAAUUUUGGACAAUGGGCGAAAGCCUGAUCCAGCAAUGCCGCGUGUGUGAAGAAGGCCUUCGGGUUGUAAAGCACUUUUGUCCGGAAAGAAAUCCUUGGCUCUAAUACAGUCGGGGGAUGACGGUACCGGAAGAAUAAGCACCGGCUAACUACGUGCCAGCAGCCGCGGUAAUACGUAGGGUGCAAGCGUUAAUCGGAAUUACUGGGCGUAAAGCGUGCGCAGGCGGUUUGCUAAGACCGAUGUGAAAUCCCCGGGCUCAACCUGGGAACUGCAUUGGUGACUGGCAGGCUAGAGUAUGGCAGAGGGGGGUAGAAUUCCACGUGUAGCAGUGAAAUGCGUAGAGAUGUGGAGGAAUACCGAUGGCGAAGGCAGCCCCCUGGGCAAUACUGACGCUCAUGCACGAAAGCGUGGGGAGCAAACAGGAUUAGAUACCCUGGUGGUCCACGCCCUAAACGAUGUCAACUAGUUGUUGGGGAUUCAUUCCUUAGUAACGUAGCUAACGCGUGAAGUUGACCGCCUGGGGAGUACGGUCG
rnacentral:rRNA from 1 species